rnacentral:rRNA from 1 species
UUCCGGUUGAUCCCGCCGGACCCGACUGCUAUUUGGGUGAGGAUAAGCCAUGCGAGUUGAAUGGGAAACCUAAAGUUCCCAUGGCAAACUGCUCAGUAACACAUGAUCAACUUACCCUAUAGAGAAAAAUAACCUCGGGAAACUGAGGAUAAUGUUUCAUAGUUGAAUUGGCUUGGAAAAGUUUUUCGACGAAAGGGGUAAAAAAAAUGGUUUUUAUCUGCUAUAGGAUAGGAUCGUGUUCGAUUAUGGUUGUUGGUGAGGUAAUGGCUCACCAAGCCGAUAAUCGAUAGGGGCCGUGAGAGCGGGAGCCCCGAGAUGGGUACUGAGACAACGACCCAGGCCUUACGAGGCGCAGCAGGCGCGAAACCUCCGCAAUACACGAAAGUGUGACGGGGUUACCUAAAGUGUUCAAUUUUGAACUGUGGUAGGUGAGUAAUGUUCCCUACUAGAAAGGAGAGGGCAAGGCUGGUGCCAGCCGCCGCGGUAAAACCAGCUCUUCAAGUGGUCGGGAUAAUUAUUGGGCUUAAAGUGUCCGUAGCCGGUUUAGUAAGUUCCUGGUAAAAUCGGGUAGCUUAACUAUCUAUAUGCUAGGAAUACUACUAUACUAGAGGGCGGGAGAGGUCUGAGGUACUGCAGGGGUAGGGGUGAAAUCUUAUAAUCCUUGUUGGACCACCAGUGGCGAAGGCGUCAGACUGGAACGCGCCUGACGGUGAGGGACGAAAGCCAGGGGAGCGAACCGGAUUAGAUACCCGGGUAGUCCUGGCCGUAAACGAUGCAUACUAUGUGAUGGCACGGCCAUGAGCCGUGUCAGUGCCGUAGGGAAACCGUUAAGUGUGCCGCCUGGGAAGUACGGUCGCAAGGCUAAAACUUAAAGGAAUUGGCGGGGGAGCACCACAAGGGGUGAAGCCUGCGGUUCAAUUGGAUUCAACGCCGGGAAUCACUAGUGCGGC